UCAGAGGGCCCAAACGGAAGAAAUGCAAGGGCUUAUCCAAACAUACAAUAAAGUUGGAAGACUAAAUUGAAAUGUCACGAAAGGAUAAAGAUUCCCUAUCUCUCCAUCUGUUCCUGUGGUUUAAAAACCACCAACGCCGUCGCGGCCACUUGAGAUGAGCUCGGCGGCUGGAAGAUAUGCCUCCGUUUCUGCAGCAGGACAGACCAUGGCAGCACGGCCAAGCCGUGAGCCGGACCACGCCAUGCGUAAUCGUUGUUGCGCUGCGCGCGUAGCCGCACGACUGUGCAUACGUCCCAGCCCCACGCGGCCAACCGACUGGAGGGAGCGCCACCGCGCCUCGCGUUGGAGGCCGCGGACGCCUCGCCGGGAGGGUUUCGCGCUGGUGCAGUCGCAACCGCCAGGAGGAGCCGCUUCCUCGCCGAGCCGGAGCAAAUGCCACCGUGCCUCGCGUUGUAGGGCCGAGGAGCGACACCGGCGCCGCGCACCGGAGGGCGCUGCUCCGCAGGGAGCCGCCUCCGACGUCAUGCGCCAAGGCUACCUCUGCCGGGCUGGGGACCGCACCGCGCCGCGACAUAUGGCAUUGCCUAUUUCCCCGGGCCGGCCAAGGGCCAUCUCCACCGCGCCGAAGGGUCACCGCUGCUCCACGUUGCGCGCCUAGCCGCUCCACCGUUCACGCAAAGCGGGAACUGCUCCGCGCUGGGAUUAAGGUCAGCGGCAGCGGUGGGCUCCAGCGCUCGGAAGGGACUCGCAUGCCGAGACCCGUGCCUCCGCGCGUGCGUCUUGGCGUCCGAACGAUCGAAGGCACUUCGCGGCGCCUCGCGUAGGCCGCAGUCGUUCCUUAGCCAUGCUCCCCGCUGGGAGUAGCCUCUGCCUCCGGGGGUGUCACGCCGGAGGGCGCAGCUUCCCUGCGGGGCUGAGGCAGGGCCGGCCCGGGCAGCGGGGGCGGCCGCCCCGGGCCCCCAAAAUCGAGGGGGCCCUCCCCAGGUUAGUACGUGCAUGUGUCAAGAAAAUAGGAACUGAUUGAUCCUUCCAUCCUAUCACAUCACGACGUAUUCACGCAGCGAUCCUCAAUUUUCUACCGGCCGCCGACGCUUGUGUCAUCGCGACUACUCGUACCGUGCUCUUUUUUCCCUAUUCUCCUAAAUCUAAUUUCGUUGCUAAUUCAGAUUGUCCGCCGAUUUCAGUUCCCCGGCGGCCGUCGCACCUCAGCUGUGCUCUCCGUCCAUCAACGAUCCGACCUUCCGAGUAUCCAUCUGGUAGUGAUAACAGGAAAAUGAAGAAAACGGCGGAUGAUUUGGUACCAUCACAGCUCGUAAAUAUUCAUCAAUUUUUGAGUAAUACUGGUGCUUUCACUAUUUCAAUAAACCCAAAUAAAGAGGUUGUGAUAGUUGUCUGAAAGAAAGGACAAUCAACUGAUGGGAACUCAGAAUCUGAUGAGCAAGAAGAAAAUGGCGACACCAACAUCUUGUGGCUCCGAGAAUGUAGGUAAUUCAUUUGAUGCAUAGGCAUAGUCAGCUAGUGUUGAUGAACAACCAGUUUAUAUUGUUGAUAUUUAUCAAUUUACGAUCCUGGAUAAUCUUGAUAGUAAAGCAAGAGCCAUCUUAGUUCAGAAAUGGCCUAUGAGAGAAGACAAAAAAAAUAUGAAAUACCAUCUACAUGAUGAAAAGAUUUUUAUUAUGCUCAUUAUAGGAAAUUAAGCAAUUGAGAGAAGCGGUGACUCAAAGAGAGUUUAAAUGGUUUGGCAACAUUAUGCAUCAAGAAGAAAUUAUUAGAUAGAUACUGACAUCACCACCAUCAUAAGUGACUUUGAAUCGAGGAAUGAUAGAAGAAACUUUCUAGGUAAUGUAUAUGUAUAUCACUUUCUAUUGUUAUGAUGUCUAUAUUAAAGGCCCCAAGUUUUAGUCUCGCCCCGGGCCCUCAAAAUCACAGGACCGGCCCUGGGCUGAGGGCGAAGCGGGAGCGACAGCCGCGGAGGACUGCCCGAGAGCCGCGGCCUCAGACGACGCCGCCUCCACCGCUCGGGAAGGGCUCGCCACGCAUGUCCACCGGGACAUGCUGCGUCGCACGGCUCCAUCGACCAGAGGAAGGGCCUCGCCGGAAACGCUCUGCCGGGAGCGUGCUGAUAACGUUUUGUAAUCAAAUGAAGCAAAUGAUUGUCUUUAUUGAUGAGAGUGCUGCUAUUUAUACAAACCUAAGGGACGCUUCUCAAUAGGCGCGAGGAUGCGAGCAACCGUCACGACUGUAGCCAAAAGACAACUGCCGCCGGUUCCUAUAAAGCAGGGAUUAACCCAUUAAUUAACACAUAUUAAUUAAUCCUAACA